CAACUUUGGAAUAGGACACCUUGAAGGACCAUCUUCUUUUCUUCCAAAUCUAGGCAGCAUGAAACCAAAUCUUAUUUCAAGAAGAGGAAGAAAAUAGGAGGAAAACUACAGAAGUGAAAGGUAACAACGGGAGAAUAAAACCCUCUGAGAAACUGAAAAACUCUGACAUUACAGCAUAAUCAUACUUACUAGUGUUACUUUGAGAAACAAAUGCAAUUUAGCACAAAAGAUUUUCUUCCUAGCAGAGAGCAAUGAAGAACUUUGAGCCCAACAACUGAUCCUGCUGGUCUGAGCUACAAGGAGAUACUGAGCUGUACAUGAAGUUCCUUCACUUUCCUCAAGCUGCUAUGCACUGCCAUGCCUUAUUAGAACGGUUUAAAACCAAUCUUAAGUCCAGAUAAGAAGUCAAGUCUGCAUCAGAUCACAUCAUACCGUUUCCUUAAUUGUCCUGCCUCCUCAAAAGCACGAUGUCCAGAAAUCCACCUUAAUAUUUGAAGAAAAAAACAAAAGACCUUAAGCUACUUCUCUCCUACUAAAAUAUCAGGCAUCCUUUUCUACUAAAAAGACAGUCUGUCAGCAUACAAGGCAAGUAGAAAUUAAUUCUAAAAACAGUUCUUGUUGCUGGUUAAGUCAUGAACAGCCCCAGAUUGUCUGGGAAAUAAAAGUUAAGUUAUAUUUUGUAAAUAAUUCUCUCUCAGCCAAGCUUAUACUAAAAUGCUAUUUUAGAGGCCUGCAUUUCACAUCAGUUCCAGAAUCAAAAUGCUCACCGGGUUCCCUGCCACCACUUUUUUUUUUUUAAAUAAAACAGAAAAACAUAUUCCUUAUUCACCAUUAAACCUCAAAGAACCUUCAAAAACUUAAGAUUGUAAUCAAUUCCAUCACAAAAAACUAACGUAAUCAAAAUACGUUUACUUCAAAGGGUCAAAAUAGAACAGCUUCUGAAUGUUAAUUUCAAAACAAUACAUAACACAAUGAAAACAGUGCACAAUUACUAGACAAAUACACUGAGCUUUUACAUUUAGAGCUAAUGUUGUGCAACCACGAUAACCACGAAUGUUCCAGAAUUAGAUACGCAUGUAGAUCUUAUGUAAAUGAUUUGAAAAAAUGCUUAUGCAUUUUCAAAAAAAAAAAAAAAAAAA